GACGAACGCUGGCGGCGUGCUUAACACAUGCAAGUCGAACGGAAAGGCCCUGCUUUUGUGGGGUGCUCGAGUGGCGAACGGGUGAGUAACACGUGAGUAACCUGCCCUUGACUUUGGGUUAACUUCAGGAAACUGGGGCUAAUACCGGAUAGGAGCUCCUGCUGCAUGGUGGGGGUUGGAAAGUUUCGGCGGUUGGGGAUGGACUCGCGGCUUAUCAGCUUGUUGGUGGGGUAGUGGCUUACCAAGGCUUUGACGGGUAGCCGGCCUGGGAGGGUGACCGGCCACAUUGGGACUGAGAUACGGCCCAGACUCCUACGGGAGGCAGCAGUGGGGAAUAUUGCACAAUGGGCGGAAGCCUGAUGCAGCAACGCCGCGUGCGGGAUGACGGCCUUCGGGUUGUAAACCGCUUUCGCCUGUGACGAAGCGUGAGUGACGGUAAUGGGUAAAGAAGCACCGGCUAACUACGUG
rnacentral:rRNA from 1 species